rnacentral:lncRNA from 1 species
GUUCCAAGUCUCAUCUUAUUCCCCAUCAUACCCACAUACCUCAAGAAGUCCUCAGAUUGGCUUUACAUUCAAACAGAAGAUGGGUCCUCUGAGAUUCCAUGCCAGCGAUACCUUGGUGACUGGAAAUGAUUAUCCAGACGUGGCGGCUGAUGUUCCAGAGAGAUACCGUCCUCCUCCGCAAGGCUCUUCACCGGUGUACGAAGGCCUUCCUAUAGAAUACAUUGACGCUGAUUCAAAGUCGAGUAAGGAGCAGCUGCUGGAAGCUUGGAAAAGGUUUCUUCCAGGACAGAGAAUGGCAAUGGCUACGUCGGACGUCUCUGCCUUGUCCGGCAGUGUUGAGGUAUUGCUAAACAAAGUUUACUUGUUUACUUGAGGUACGACACAUAGUAGUGCUGCCGAAUAUAUCAUUUGCACACUUACAUGCACAAGGCAGAUUUCUUCACAUACAUGGGUGGUUCAAAGUUGACG